rnacentral:rRNA from 1 species
CAAUAGCGUAUAUUUAAGUUGUUGCAGUUAAAAAGCUCGUAGUUGGAUUUCGGGUUGGCUUCAGCGGUCUCGCUUUGCGUUUGUACUGCUGCAGCCUACCUUCUUGUCGGGGACGGGCCUUCGGGCUUAAUUGCUUGGGGCCCGGAGUCGACGAUGUUACUUUGAGUAAAUUAGAGUGUUCAAAGCAAGCCUACGCUCUGAAUAUAAUAGCAUGGGAUAACACGACAGGACUCUGGCCUAUCGUGUUGGUCUGUAGGACCAGAGUAAUGAUUAAGAGGGACAGUCGGGGGCAUUCGUAUUCCGUUGUCAGAGGUGAAAUUCUCGGAUUUACGGAAGACGAACAUCUGCGAAAGCAUUUGCCAAGGAUGUUUUCAUUGA